CAAAUGAUACAAUGCUACUCUGUUCUUAUUGAGAGCCCAGAGGAAAUCAUUCUACGUACUAAGGGAAUAAAAAAGUGUGCCUCUCCAAAAUCAAUUUAAUGAACAGAUUCGUUGGAACUGAUAAUCUCCAAUACCUUCUCCAAACUGACUAUCUCCAAUAUAAGAUUCAU
rnacentral:sRNA from 1 species